UUAAAACUGUUCACCGUUCCUUUGAGUACCUCGUAGAUUCUGGAUAUUAGUCCUUUGUUGGAGGUAUAGAUUGUGAAGAUUUUCUCCAAUUCGUCGCCGUUUUUUAGAGUUUUUCUCACUAAAUAUUAACUAAUGGAACCUAGCCCUGUAACGCUGAUAGACCGGCGGGUCGGAAGUGGCUGAGGUGGAGUAUCCGCAGAAGAACUGAGGCUCCUGAGCGCAGCGUCCUGUCCAAGAGGUUUCGUCCCAAUGCAUGGGGAACAUCCGCAUUGUGAUGUUUAGCUCUCAGCUUCUAACUUGGGCAUUCUAGCAUCUGUAUUUCUCAUUUAAUGUUUUAUGGGCACACAUGUAGAGGAGUUUUCGUCACUCAAAAGCCCGACAACUUCCCCCGCCAACCCACUGGAAUUAAAAAAACCUCGAUAACCUCUUAGGCACAUGGAAAUGGAACCCUGAGCAGAGGUAAAAGCCUAGCAGUGAUCACUCUUUUGGCGACUUGGAAAUCGGGGUGAGCUUUUAUCCGUUACCUGUGCCCUGUUGUUAGGGGUCGACUGCUGCUGUUCUUCCUUGGAAACUGGCUCCGCUGCAUUUCGGGGCUGGGAUGUUGUUAAAGCAUUCACAGCCCUCAGAGCACAUGACGACGGAGCUGGGAAAUGAAGCAGGACCUUCCGCUUUGUAGCAGACUUAUUUCUGGAGAAACUGAUGGUUGGGGCCACAAAACGCUUUCAGUGUAGGCUCAUCAUGACUCAUUUGGACAUCCUAUUUUCUCUCCUUAUGUAUGAGAUUGUGGGGGGUAUCUGUACAGCCUAAGGACCUUGGGUGGACCUGGCCAGCAAUGGGACUGUUACUGACGAUGCAUCACAUGAUGUCACUAGGGCAAGCAUAGAUCAGCUGAGGAUCAAUCUUCCCGCAAGGUGUGUGUGAAAAUGUAGGUUAUGUGCUUCCUUCAGCCCCAAACCUGUUGUCCACACCAGAAUCUGGAAACAAUCUCAUUGGAAUUGGGAGAAUGAUCGAUGAUACUCACUGGGACGUCAUUGUGUUGAGGGGAGGUCUGAAGUCCAUGGAAGAAGACGCAGUGGCCGCUGGAGCUCGUGCGGAGGAAGGGGCCAUCAGAACUCCAAGCACAGAUGAACUGCUGGUGGCAGGAAAAAUGGGCUCACAGACCAAGGUGGAAGGAGAAGUGAACAUGUAAAGAAUGAUAAAGAAAAUGUGGUACAUAUACACCAUGGAAUACUAUGCAGC